rnacentral:rRNA from 1 species
AGAGUUUGAUCAUGGCUCAGAUUGAACGCUGGCGGCAUGCUUUACACAUGCAAGUCGAACGGCAGCGCGGGGCAACCUGGCGGCGAGUGGCGAACGGGUGAGUAAUACAUCGGAACGUACCCAGAAGUGGGGGAUAACGUAGCGAAAGUUACGCUAAUACCGCAUACGUUCUACGGAAGAAAGUGGGGGAUCUUCGGACCUCAUGCUUUUGGAGCGGCCGAUGUCUGAUUAGCUAGUUGGUGAGGUAAAGGCUCACCAAGGCGACGAUCAGUAGCUGGUCUGAGAGGACGACCAGCCACACUGGGACUGAGACACGGCCCAGACUCCUACGGGAGGCAGCAGUGGGGAAUUUUGGACAAUGGGCGCAAGCCUGAUCCAGCAAUGCCGCGUGAGUGAAGAAGGCCUUCGGGUUGUAAAGCUCUUUUGUCAGGGAAGAAACGGCUCGGGCUAAUAUCCUGGGCUAAUGACGGUACCUGAAGAAUAAGCACCGGCUAACUACGUGCCAGCAGCCGCGGUAAUUC